rnacentral:tRNA from 1 species
GAUAUCAUCGUCUAGCGGCCAGGACAGCAGUCUCUUAAAUUGUUAACGAGGGUUCGAGUCCCUCUGAUGUCACCA